CAGCAGCCACGGUAAUACGUAGGGUGCAAGCGUUAAUCGGAAUUACUGGGUGUAAAGCGUGCGCAGGCGGUUUGUUAAGACAGAUGUGAAAUCCCCGGGCUCAACCUGGGAACUGCAUUUGUGACUGGCAAGCUAGAGUGUGGCAGAGGGGGGUGGAAUUCCGCGUGUAGCAGUGCAAUGCGUAGAUAUGCGGAGGAACACCGAUGGCGAAGGCAGCCCCCUGGGCCAACACUGACGCUCAUGCACGAAAGCGUGGGGAGCAAACAGGAUUAGAUAUCCCCGUAGUCCCUGUCUCUUAUAC
rnacentral:rRNA from 1 species